GCAGAGAAUGAAAAGAUUACAUGGCAAUGGCUUCCUUUUACAAAUUUUGCCCGAAAUGACAGUUUACAACUAUACCACUGGGUGAGGGUUGUAAAUGGUGUUCUGCCAACAGGCGACUAUUCGUUUGCUAAGUAUAACAAGUCAGUGGAUGUAAUUGAAUACACAGAUGAGGAGUAUGAGAAAUAUUUGACAGAUCCCAUAAGUAUCUCAAGCAUUAAGUCUAAACAUUGGUACUUUUUACAAC